rnacentral:rRNA from 1 species
ACGGGUGAGUAACAUAUCGGAACGUACCGAGCAGUGGGGGAUAACUAAUCGAAAGAUUAGCUAAUACCGCAUAUAUUCUGAGGAAGAAAGCAGGGGACCAUUUGGCCUUGCGCUGUUUGAGCGGCCGAUAUCUGAUUAGCUAGUUGGUGGGGUAAAGGCCUACCAAGGCGACGAUCAGUAGCGGGUCUGAGAGGAUGAUCCGCCACACUGGGACUGAGACACGGCCCAGACUCCUACGGGAGGCAGCAGUGGGGAAUUUUGGACAAUGGGCGCAAGCCUGAUCCAGCCAUGCCGCGUGUCUGAAGAAGGCCUUCGGGUUGUAAAGGACUUUUGUCAGGGAAGAAAAGGGCGGGGUUAAUACCCCUGUCUGAUGACGGUACCUGAAGAAUAAGCACCGGCUAACUACGUGCCAGCAGCCGCGGUAAUACGUAGGGUGCGAGCGUUAAUCGGAAUUACUGGGCGUAAAGCGGGCGCAGACGGUUACUUAAGCAGGAUGUGAAAUCCCCGGGCUCAACCUGGGAACUGCGUUCUGAACUGGGUGACUAGAGUGUGUCAGAGGGAGGUAGAAUUCCACGUGUAGCAGUGAAAUGCGUAGAGAUGUGGAGGAAUACCGAUGGCGAAAGCAGCCUCCUGGGAUAACACUGACGUUCAUGCCCGAAAGCGUGGGUAGCAAACAGGAUUAGAUACCCUGAUAGUCCACGCCCUAAACG